UUAAAGGUUUUGUGGAAAAGCUGCACAUUCACAUUCCACGUAUUCAUCAGAACCAAUCAAAACUACCAAGGAUGACACACACUUUUUUCCAUUUCUGGACAUUUAUUUAGUACAAGUUUGAUUAAAAGCAGCCAAAAACCAACCAAUUUUCUCAAAUCUCCCCUGCUCCCUUCCUUUUGUUCUGCCUAAAAAAACCACCUGUGUUUUAUUGUCCAUUUCAGACGUGACACACACCCCCGCCGUACUUCUGACUUAAUCAUGACCCGGACACAUGCUCACUGAACGCAGGAGAAACUGAGGGAAAUAGACGAAUGAGAGAAAGACAAAAGGUGCAAAAGGUUCGACAUGAAUCACGAGGAGACAAGUGAAACGUUCAGGAGCAGCUGGAGGUGAUGAUUAUGAGAAAAAUCUGUGAGGAGGGAGAGGAAAGGGAAACAGGAGCUCCUCGAAGGCCAAAGAAUUGAUCAAUCAGUGGGUCGGCCCACCCUGAAGAGGCUUUUGGAGCAGGGGAAAAACUGCACGUUUGAAAGGAAAGCAGAAAUUCGGAAGUGGGCACGCAUGUCAGAGCUGAUCAGUCUGCAGCAGGUUCUGUCGGCCACAAAGGAAAAACUGAGCAGAAGCCAGCAAAAGAUUCUCGCUAUGAAAUUUCACUCUAAAGGUUUUGAACCCCUUGCAGAGCUGGUUUUGUGCCUUGACUGAAAUCUAUCAUUGUUUUUUCCAAAUAAAAAAAAGAGAAAAAAAUGUGUUUUUCUUGCAAAACCUCAAAGCUGAUAUCUGAAUUAAAAAGCUCAUUGUAAAAUAAUAACAAUAAUA